CUUUUUGUGUGCAUUUCUUUCUGCCAUUGUUUUCCUGGUUUGGUUAAACAGGGAAGAAAAAUAUUCUUAAUCUUGGGAUUUUACAGAAAUGUACGAUAAUGUUGGAAAGCCUGGGGUGCCAAGACAGCCACCAAACUCACAACCAAAUCCAUUGGGAUCCUUUUUUUGCAGGAUUGUCCUUUGCUUAUCAGCUUUUAUAUUCUACCAGAUGCUACUGGGUUCUACUUUUUGAGAUUACACGCUCUUGGAAUUCAUGUUUGUCCAGCUAAAGCCAGGAGUUGGUACUUUUUCUAGGCAGUACAAGGCGCACUUCUAAGCAGUAUGUAUGCAGUUCUUGACUAUGCACGAACUGGUUUGAUUGCUACAGUAUUUUUUCUUUAAAGUAAGAGCACUUCACCAAGAUUAUGUCAAAUCGUACAUUAGCAGCUUUAUUUGAUUCUUUCUUUAUCUUCAUGUCAUUGUCUUAUCAUCAUUGGUUCAUUUGAUUUUUCUAUUGGUUUCAUCUUCUUCUUUAUUUAUUUUAAAGUCCCCUUCAUCUGGGGACUGUUUUUCAUUCUAUUAAAAACUCUGUUUGUUUCAGACUUGAUCAUGUUGAAUCAUGCACCUAAUUAGUUGUAUUUUCUUUUUCAUUGUUGUCAUGUACUCUCUCUCUUUCUCUCUCACUCAAAGAAACACAGACAUCCACACAAGAUAAUUGAUAAAAUUCAUAACUUUUCAUUAUUGAUGUGCAUGUCAGAUGAUGGAAGGGUGGCACCAAUCUGCUGAGGAGAGAAUGUCUGCUCCAACAGUGUAUCCCCCGCCACCGCCUUCUCCUCCCCCAAAGGUUGCAAAGGAGGGAAUUCCACUGCCUCCAGAUAGAAUGUUAUGCCCUUUGCGUUCACAAAAGUGUGUAAAUCCAUCAGCUGUAGCUGUUUCAGGAUUUGUCUUUUGUUAUUCUUGCAUAUUUAAAUAAGUCUCUUAGGUUUGUUUCUCCAUACUUUUGUAUUGAUCAUGGUAAAAUUGCAGAACUACUGCCAAAUAUUGUUUCUAAGUGAUGCUUUCUCUUAUGUCGCAUUUCAAGAAGCUUUAUCAUUUUCUAUAUAGUGUACGCUAAACUUAAACAGUAAAUUGUACACUGUAGCCAGAAAUUCAAUUUUGCAACUAAUUCUUUUGUUUAA